UGUGGGACCCCUAACAGCAGGAGUCCUGACUUUGAUUCCUGCCUUGGGACCCUUUCCCCAAA
rnacentral:miRNA from 1 species